rnacentral:rRNA from 1 species
ACUUACGGCCAUACCACCCUGAACACGCCCGAUCUCGUCCGAUCUCGGGAAGCUAAGCAGGGUCGUCCUGGUUAGUACUUGGAGGGAGACCGCCUGGGAAUACCAGGUGCUGUAAGCU